rnacentral:rRNA from 1 species
CCGGCAAACGGGUGCGGAACACGUACGCAAUCUACCCAAAACUGGUGAAUAGCCCUCCGAAAGGAGGAUUAAUACACCGUAACUUAAUGGAGUGGCAUCACUUUAUUAAUAUAGCUCCGGCGGUUUUGGAUGGGCGUGCGCCUGAUUAGGUAGUUGGUAGGGUAACGGCCCACCAAGCCAACGAUCAGUAACUGGUGUGAGAGCACGACCAGUCACACGGGCACUGAGACACGGGCCCG